AGAAUCAACGCUGGCGGCGUGCCUAACACAUGCAAGUCGAACGAGAAAGUGGAGCAAUCCAUGAGUAAAGUGGCGCACGGGUGAGUAACACGUGACUAACCUACCUUUUAGUGGGGGAUAACCUAGGGAAACCUGGGCUAAUACCGCAUAACACUUACGAGUCAAAGCAGCAAUGCGCUGAAAGAGGGGGUCGCGGCCGAUUAGGCUAGUUGGCGGGUAAUGGCCCACAAGGCAGUGAUCGGUA
rnacentral:rRNA from 1 species